rnacentral:tRNA from 1 species
AAAUAAGAAGCAAAAAUAUGUAUUUAGUUUCGACCUAAAAGAAUGGUCACAUUGACCCUUAUUUA